rnacentral:misc_RNA from 1 species
UCCGGUUUGUCACCGGCAGUCUGGCGUGAGUCCCCAACUUAAUGCUGGCAACACGCCACGGGGGUUGCGCUCGUUGCGGGACUUAACCCAACAUCUCACGACACGAGCUGACGACGGCCAUGCAGCACCUGAACUAGGGGUCUCCGAAGAGAAGAUCUCAUCUCUGAGACUGUCCCCUGUUGUCUAGCCCAGGUAAGGUUCUUCGCGUUGCGUCGAAUUGAACCACAUGCUCCACCGCUUGUGCGGGCCCCCGUCAAUUCCUUUGAGUUUUAAUCUUGCGACCGUACUCCCCAGGCGGGGCACUUAAUGCGUUAGCUGCGGCACCCAAGGGGUCAAUACCUCGGACACCUAGUGCCCAUCGUUUACAGCGUGGACUAC